rnacentral:rRNA from 1 species
UACGGAGGGAGCUAGCGUUGUUCGGAAUUACUGGGCGUAAAGCGCACGUAGGCGGCUUUGUAAGUUAGAGGUGAAAGCCCGGGGCUCAACCCCCGGAAUUGCCUUUAAGACUGCAUCGCUUUGAAUCCGGGAGAGGUGAGUGGAAUUCCGAGUGUAGAGGUGAAAUUCGUAGAUAUUCGGAAGAACACCAGUGGCGAAGGCGGCUCACUGGACCGGUAUUGACGCUGAGGUGCGAAAGCGUGGGGAGCAAACAGG